rnacentral:rRNA from 1 species
ACGGAAGGCAGCAGUGGGGAAUAUUGCACAAUGGGGGAAACCCUGAUGCAGCGACGCCGCGUGAGCGAAGAAGUAUUUCGGUAUGUAAAGCUCUAUCAGCAGGGAAGAAAAUGACGGUACCUGACUAAGAAGCUCCGGCUAAAUACGUGCCAGCAGCCGCGGUAAUACGUAUGGAGCAAGCGUUAUCCGGAUUUACUGGGUGUAAAGGGAGCGUAGACGGGACAGCAAGUCUGAUGUGAAAGGCGGGGGCUCAACCCCUGGACUGCAUUGGAAACUGUUGACCUUGAGUGCCGGAGAGGUAAGCGGAAUUCCUAGUGUAGCGGUGAAAUGCGUAGAUAUUAGGAGGAACACCAGUGGCGAAGGCGGCUUACUGGGCGGUAACUGACGUUGAGGCUCGAAAGCGUGGGGAGCAAACAGGAUUAGAUACCCUGGUA